GAUGAACGCUAGCUACAGGCUUAACACAUGCAAGUCGAGGGGUAGCAGGGUAGCAAUACCGCUGACGACCGGCGCACGGGUGAGUAACACGUAUCCAACCUUCCCAUAACUCGGGAAUAGCCUUUCGAAAGAAAGAUUAAUACCCGAUAGUACUUUUUCAAGGCAUCUUUUUUAAGUUAAAGAUUUAUUGGUUAUGGAUGGGGAUGCGUUCCAUUAGAUAGUUGGUGAGGUAACGGCUCACCAAGUCUUCGAUGGAUAGGGGUUCUGAGAGGAAGGUCCCCCACAUUGGUACUGAGACACGGACCAAACUCCUACGGGAGGCAGCAGUGAGGAAUAUUGGUCAAUGGGCGAGAGCCUGAACCAGCCAAGUAGCGUGAAGGAUGAAGGUCCUAUGGAUUGUAAACUUCUUUUAUAGUAGAAUAAAGUGAUCCACGUGUGGAUUUUUGUAUGUAUACUAUGAAUAAGGAUCGGCUAACUCCGUGCCAGCCGCCGCCGUAACAC
rnacentral:rRNA from 1 species